GACGUUUCCUGGGGCUGAAGAGGGCGGGGAACUAUGGGAAUGGGAAGAAGGGGGAGAGGGAGGGUGCUGAUCAGCCGGGGCCCGGCAAGGGUACGCAGGAGCAGUGCAGUGAUGGACGUGGUCGGGGUAAAGAAGUAGAGAUGGGGUUCUAGUCAUACUGAUUUGUGCUUUUGCUUUAUGGCUUCCUGUUUUUUAAGGGAAAUCUUCUUCUGGUUUUUUCCCCGUUUUUAAACCUUUUUUCGCUUCUUGUCUGUCUUCUUGAUUAAUUAUGGUGUAGGACUUGAAAGUUUGGAAAAUGUAGAGAUAUUGACUAAUUGUGAAGUGAGAGCUCAUUUUGGUUUUGGA